AACGAACGCUGGCGGCAGGCUUAACACAUGCAAGUCGAACGCCCCGCAAGGGGAGUGGCAGACGGGUGAGUAACGCGUGGGAACAUACACUUUUCUACGGAAUAGCUCUGGGAAACUGGAAUUAAUACCGUAUACGCCCUACGGGGGAAAGAUUUAUCGGGGAAGGAUUGGCCCGCGUUGGAUUAGCUAGUUGGUGGGGUAAAGGCCUACCGAGGCGACGAUCCAUAGCUGGUCUGAGAGGAUGAUCAGCCACAUUGGGACUGAGACACGGCCCAAACUCCUACGGGAGACAGCAGUGGGGAAUAUUGGACAAUGGGCGCAAGCCUGAUCCAGACGUGCCGCGUGAGUGAUGAAGGCCUUAGGGUUGUAAAGCUCUUUCACCGAUGAAGAUAAUGACGGUAGUCGGAGAAGAAGCCCCGGCUAACUACGUGCCAGCCGCCGCAGUAACAC
rnacentral:rRNA from 1 species